UGACAUGGAUUUAGGCCUAGAUCUUGGACGGGGCCAUGGCAUCAAUGCAGUGUUGACCAUGGACGUGGUGCGCAUGCGGCAGGAGGAUCACACGGCCAGGGUAGCCGACCUGCUGCCUCUCCCAUGGCCGAGGGAAGCUGCUUUUCUCUCUGCUCCACUUUGUAUUAGAUCGAUGUCCAAAAUUUCUGGAGAGCUCUUCUUGUGUUGUGCAUCAUCAUCUAGGAUUAUUUUCUCCCAUUUUGAGUUGUCCAUGUACACCUAUUUACAGAUUUGUGGUGUACCCUGGUUUGAACCAAGAUUGUUUUUUUUUUUUUGGGUACAGAGGUCACCAUGUUGCAUUGGCAAACAGGUUGGGGAUUUGAUCAUUGCAGCAAGUGCGAGAAGGCUGAGUUCAUCAGCCUGGUAUGGCGCUACCUCUGCGGGAGGCAGAGCAUAUGGAGUGUUGUAAGAUCCAUACCGCACCGAUGAGAUGGUGAUUCUAGACGAAUCCUCUAACUGGUUGAUUAGGUCACACAUACAGGUCCAAGUUGUGGACAUUGUAGUGUUUGGUGGAACUGGCUGCAAAAAUGUGUCCCCAAAUAUUUUUUGUGGGCUGCAAUGUGGUGAGAUUUUUGUUAUCCGCCGCAUAACGAGCUCCUGCUUUACAGCAGCACGUGAAUUCUUUUUCGCAGUUGUUGUGAUCAUGAGAUGCAUUAUUUCAGACCCUUACAUGUUUGAAGUUAAAUUUGAUUGAUGCGACAUCAUGCUGUGGAGCCACUACCUUUGAACCUGCAAUUCAAGAGAAAAUCUAAUAUAUUCAUGGAUUACCACAUGUCCACAUGUGCCUUGCAACUAUUUUGUUCAUUUCUCAAAGGAUAAACAAGGUUUACGUAGAAAAGUUAGAUCUCAGCCCAUGGAGAAAGUUUCAAAAAAAAAUAUUGCGUCUGACCUGUUUGUUAUUAUGUCUACGAGAAGUGAUUUUUUUUCUAGCUCCAUGGCGGAUGGCAAUGGUUGCAUCUGGGCGCCCGCACAUCCCCGAUUCCAUGUUUGUCAUGUCGAGGGUGUGGAGCUGGUGGUUGGUGGAACGCCUUGCUGGUAUGUGGCCUUUGUUUUAGAUAUCAGAACUGUACACUGGGUUUGGUAAACUUAUACAAAUAGUUUGCUUAAUAGUAAGUUGAACUUAUACAAACAUGGAAUCAUAUUUCAGUUCGUAUCUCUAUUUUCUCUUCAGUAUUGGGCACUUCUUAAACAUAUGAACGAGACACCGAGAAAGGCUUCCAGCUUGAUUGGGGAAACAAUAGCAUCCACAUUCGUAUUUGUCCCAUUCAUUUCCCUCUCUCUUCAUAUUCAGGCUGUAGCAAUUGAUAUGCAGUCUAGCCUGGAGUCUGGAUUUUGUACAGGUAUACUGUCCAUCCUGGUUCUGGUGAUUUGAUUUGGGAAACUCUUGAAGUUUGAUUCAUAUAUUGGUCCUGAGAAUUCUUCACCUGGCAUUCUGCAAUUGCUUCCAGCCAGGGAUUUCUACAAUCUGGAGAAGUCCAUACAUUUGAGUAUGCAAGAUCAAGCACUUCUGAUCAGCUUUGCAGUCUUCUCAGAUAAUAAUAGACGAACAAAAUGAUGUCUACAUGUUGGUUAUGAGAGAUGAAUAUCUCUGUGAUGUCAUUUUGCCGAACUGCAAAGCUAUCAUUUGAUGCAAUGUUCCUGAAAUUCAGCUUGUGUGCUUGUAGGUUCCCUGCGCCUUGCUUACUCCCCGGUUCGUCCAGUAUUCAUAAUUCGCUAUUUGCAAGCUGUAGAUCAACCAGAAAGCCUAUGUGCAGCCCAGCGACAGCCAUGGUGCUGCUUUUCAUCUUGUAAAGGAAGUUAGCUUGUUCUUCUGAAUGUUCCACCACUAGCUUCUGGCCAUGCAACCUUAUAAUAUGCAAUUAGCAAUAUCCACCAAGUGAUUGAGGUGCCACGUGUUUUCUUUUGUAUGCUUCUCCUUAGGUUAAUUAGAUUGUACAUAACAACUUCAAAUCGAAGACUCCAAGUAGUAUGAGUGUAUGUAGCAUAACAGACAAUAUGCUACUAUUUAACGUCUUAAAAUCAAAAUAUCCAAAUUGUAUCUUCUGUUGUAUGAAGCUGGUAAUGUAAUUUGGGCAUUUAAGAACCAUAUCUUUCA